rnacentral:piRNA from 1 species
UUCUCUCCUAAGAAGAAAAUUUAGGUGCAAGC